rnacentral:rRNA from 1 species
AACGAACGCUGGCGGCAUGCCUAACAUAUGCAAGUCGAACGAGACCUUCGGGUCUAGUGGCGCACGGGUGCGUAACGCGUGGGAACCUGCCCUUAGGUUCGGAAUAACUCCCCGAAAGGGGUGCUAAUACCGGAUAAUGUCUUCGGACCAAAGAUUUAUCGCCUUUGGAUGGGCCCGCGUUGGAUUAGCUAGUUGGUAGGGUAAAAGCCUACCAAGGCGACGAUCCAUAGCUGGUCUGAGGGGAUGAUCAGCCACACUGGGACUGAGACACGGCCCAGACUCCUACGGGAGGCAGCAGUGGGGAAUAUUGGACAAUGGGCGAAAGCCUGAUCCAGCAAUGCCGCGUGAGUGAUGAAGGCCUUAGGGUUGUAAAGCUCUUUUACCCGGGAUGAUAAUGACAGUACCGGGAGAAUAAGCUCCGGCUAACUCCGUG